GGUAGUAGUUCAGUGGUAGAGUAUGUGCUCAGCAUGCACGAGGUCCUGGAUUCAAUCCCCAGUACUUCCA
rnacentral:tRNA from 1 species